UACGAAGGGGACUAGCGUUGUUCGGAAUUACUGGGCGUAAAGCGUGCGUAGGCGGUGUCUUAAGUUUGUUGUGAAACCUCCCGGCUUAACCGGGAGGGUGCGGCGAAUACUGAGAUGCUGGAGUGCGGGAGAGGUAAGCGGAAUUCCUGGUGUAGCGGUGAAAUGCGCAGAUAUCAGGAGGAACACCAAUUGCGAAGGCAGCUCGCUGGGACGUUACUGACGCUGAGACGCGAAAGCGUGGGGAGCAAACAGG
rnacentral:rRNA from 1 species